CCCAGUUCCACCCAGAGCUCCCAGUUCCACCCAGAGCUCCCAGUUCCAGCCGGAGCUCCCAGUUCACCCGGAGCUCCCAGUUCCACCCAGAGCUCCCAGUUCCACCCAGAGCUCCCAGUUCCAGCCGGAGCUCCCAUUCCACCCAGAGCUCCCAGUUCACCCGGAGCUCCCAGUUCACCCGGAGCUCCCAGUUCCACCCGGAGCUCCCAGUUCCACCCGGAGCUCCCAGUUCCACCCAGAGCUCCCAGUUCACCCAGAGCUCCCAGUUCCACCCAGAGCUCCCAGUUCACCCAGAGCUCCCAGUUCCAGCCGGAGCUCCCAGUUCCACCCAGACUGUGGACUGUGUGAUGUGAGUGCAGGUGGACAUUGAGAGGAUGAAGGACUCUACUUUAUUCAGGCGUGCAGACCUCUGAUCUUUUAUCUCUGUAUAAUAUCCGAACAGUCGACAUAUUUGUGUUGUUUUGUAAAUUCCCGUCCGUCGGCUGAGUGGAGGGAAACUACCAGAACAUAUGCUCACAGGCGGACUUGUUUCUCAGGAGGCGGCGAUUCGAGGACGUCAGGAGAAGAAAAACUCACCUAUUCCUGUAAAUUUGCAGUAAAAGUAAAAGUGAGCCAAAGACUGAGGCCCGCUUGAGGACCGGAUCCGACACCGGAGCACCUGACAGGUUUUAAGGUUUGGACUCAGAAGCCUGAACAGAAAAGGUGCUCAUUGUGAAGAAAACCUGCAGAAAGGCACACAAACUGCAGAUUUACAUGACCUGUACAAGUCUGGUAUUCUUACACAUCGUUUCUUAUUUCCAGUUUACAUAUUCAGAGAUCUGGCCGGGUCCAUGUUUUCUAUGUCCUGCAGACGGAGUGCUGUAUCGGCUUCCUGUUCGCUAGUGCUUGUUGUUGUGGUUCUCCUUUGUUGUGUCGCGUUUAAUACACACCUGCAUGCCAAAGACUAUUCCAGAUACGAUAGUUCUAGCCAGAAGUACCCUGAUUUCUGUUUGGCUCUUAUUGGGAUCAGAAGACAAAUGUCCUUGUGGAAACGGCUUUUUUAACCCUCCUGUUGUCCUCAUUUAUGGGCACCAAAAAAUAUUGUUUCCUUGUCUGAAAAAAAUCCAAAAAAUCUGCAAAAAAAUUCCCCAAAUUUCUGAAAAUUUGCAAAACCUUCAGGAAGAAAAUUCCAAUAAUUUCUUAAAAGUUUCACAUAAAAGUAUUAUUUUAAAAAAUUCCCCAAAUUUGGCAAGAAAAUUCUUGUAAAUAUGUUCAAAAAAUGAGUAAAAAUCUUCCAAAAAAAUCCUAAAAAUCUCUAAAGUGAUUCCAUAUAUAUCAGUAAAAUUUCUGAUAUUUUCUUUAAGAACAUUCACAUAAAGAUUUUGCUGGAUUUUGGUUGAUUGUUUUGUGAAUGUUCUUAAGAAACAUUUUUAACAUUUCUUUUUUUCCACAAAAACAUGUUCAAAGAUUUCCCAAAUAUGUUGAAAAUAUGGACAUCAGAAGAUUCACUGUGAAAAUAUAUUUUUUCCACAUUUUCAAACUUCAAAACGGGUCAGUUUGAUCUGCAGGACGACACGAGGAUUAAAAUAUGCACUGAUGUGUUUGUUACCAUGUUGUGGUUUCUCUUAGACAUCGAGGAUGUGCAGAUGUUGAAGAAAACGUCCGUUGACACUGACUUACUUAAUAACAAAGUUUUAUUAUAAGGAAGAACAGCAUCGAUCAGACAGAGAGACUGCCUGGGAGGAUUCAGCCAAAUGAACCUCUCCAAACGACAAACGAAGGUCACUGUUACAUGCUUUGGACAGGUAUGAGGUCACAACAAAUGUUUCCUAUUUAGAAGACAUCUGGUCAUAGAACAAGACCCCACUGAUCAACCCCCUAUCAAUAAGGCACCCAAAGUGCCAUUAGGGGCCAGAGAUCAAUGAUCAUUACCUGGACAUAAUGACUCCCAAUCUAAUCACAGCAAUGACUUCCUUCAGCAGAAGAACACAUUUUGUUCUGACAAGCAACACAUAUCUCAGGUCAGAUACUACAACCACAAGGUCAGAAAUGGAAGAUCCUCAGAUAAGACGGACAGAACAUUUCUACGGAUCAGUUCAGUUUAGCUCCUCCUCAGCCUGGAUGUCAUUACAGAACCGCUGGACUUUCCUGCAGUAUACAACAAACGUCACCCAAUGAUUCUACACUGUAGCUCCUUACAGUAAUCAGAUUACUUCUAAGUUGAACAGUAGAGUAUUUCCCCUAAUGUCAGAUUACAAACUAUUAGUUUAGAUUUAAUAUAUUAAUAAAUUCAACAGUAGCCAUCGCCGUGCUUCACUGUCAGGAUGGUGUGUGGUAGUCUAGUCAACAGUAAACAGAUGCACAACGACCACAAAGACACACAAAAUCACCACAAAGACACACAAAAUCACCAGAGAGACUCACAAAAUGACCUCGGAGUGCUUCACUGUCAAGGCUAUGCAUUCACUGUGGUAGUCCUGGUCAGGAGAGACCACAAAGAGAUACAAAACAACCACAAAGAGAUGCAUAAUGACGACAAAAACACACAACAUGACCACGAAAAGACACAAAAUAACCACAAAGACACACAAAAUCGCCAGAAAGACUCACAAAAUGACUUCAAAGUUCUUCACUGUCAGGACGAUGCAUCCACUGUGGUAGUCCUGGUCAGGUUCUCAAUUAACAUCUGGACUCCAUCUGAACCCAACUCAUUGAUCUUCAUCUGAAUGUUCUCCAACAUCCAUCAGGCUUCUUUAAAUGUUCUUUGUGAAAGUAGUUCACUGUCCAUGGAGUCAUUUUAGGAGCUCUGAUUAGUGGUACUAUGCCUCCUUCUAGACCUCCUGAUUAGUGGAACUAUGACUCCUUCUAGACCUCCUGAUUAGUGGUACUAUGACUCCUUCUAGACCUCCUGAUUAGUGGAACUACGACUCCUUCUAGACCUCCUGAUUAGUGGUACUAUGACUCCUUCUAGACCUCCUGAUUAGUGGUACUAUGACUCCUUCUAGACCUCCUGAUUAGUGGUACUAUGACUCCUUCUAGACCUCCUGGUUAAUGGUACUAUGACUCCUUCUAGACCUCCUGAUCCGUGCUUCUAUGACUCCUUCUAGUUGCUCACUGAUCUUCCUGGAUCUUUUCCAUCUUUGUCGAGUCUCUCAGUCAGAUUUUUCUCUUCCUCUGUUCAGUUCGUUUCCAUGUGGUGCCGUGAUGCAGACAUAGAUAGACCCAGGUCCAGAACGGAGAACGUUCAUUUUAGAACCAUGUUCAUCAGUUCGACUGAAUCACAGCUGGACUCGUCUUUAUAAAAAGUUCUACUGUUCCACUUAGAAAUGAUGCAAUCAGUGAGAGAGGACUUAAGUUGGAAUCAUUUGACAUUUAAGUGAUUUUGCCCCGGGGUGUCCUCACUGAUGUUGUAUACUGUAAUUAUAUGUAGAAUAGAGAUAAAAACGUGUGAGAUCCUGCUGUAUUUUACAAUCACAUACCAGUCAGUUCUUUUCAAAAUAGUAACAGACAGAAAGUAUUGAGACUUAUUUUGUACACUUUAGUGUUGUAGAUUUAAUUUUAAAUGGAAAAUAUAGAUAUAUUUUCACAUUAAUCUACACUCAGUAACCCAGAAUGACAAAGCAAAGACACAAAAAUGUCAAGCAGUUUUAAUUUAAUUGAUUUAAAGUUAUUUUUCCAACACUAUAAGGUGUUCUGGAGUCUGAAUACUUCCUGAAGCGACUGAAGGUUCAUCGCUGGUAAAUAGCAAUAACAGGACAUGUUGACAAUCAGAUAUUUCUCAUGUUUGUUUCCUCCUUUAGCUCCAUCUGCUCCCACUUUAUCUUGCUUGUAUGUUGUUUCUUCAUUUUUGCUAAUGGUUUGAGCUUCAGUAGAUGUGUCGAGUGCUGCUUGUUUUUAGGUUUGAGCUCUAAACUGAAUAAAGUUG
ensembl:lncRNA